AAGACCUUGCGCUUUUGGAGCGGCCGAUGCCUGAUUAGCUAGUUGGUGGGGUAAUGGCCUACCAAAGCUUCGAUCAGUAGCUGGUCUGAGAGGACGGCCAGCCACACUGGGACUGAGACACGGCCCAGACUCCUACGGGAGGCAGCAGUGGGGAAUUUUGGACAAUGGGCGCAAGCCUGAUCCAGCCAUGCCGCGUGAGUGAAGAAGGCCUUCGGGUUGUAAAGCUCUUUCAGCCGGGACGAAACGGUUACGGUUAACACCCGUGACUACUGACGGUACCGGAAGAAGAAGCACCGGCUAACUACGUGCCAGCAGCCGCGGUAAUACGUAGGGUGCGAGCGUUAAUCGGAAUUACUGGGCGUAAAGCGUGCGCAGGUGGUUUUGUAAGUCAGAUGUGAAAGCCCCGGGCUCAACCUGGGAACU
rnacentral:rRNA from 1 species